AGAUGAAGUUUUGAAAGUGUCU
rnacentral:siRNA from 1 species